rnacentral:rRNA from 1 species
GUUACUAGUAAUCGCAGAUCAGAAUGCUGCGGUGAAUGCGUUCCCGGGUCUUGUACACACCGCCCGUCACACCACGGGAGUUGGGGGCGCCCGAAGCCGAUUAUCUAACCUUUUGGAAGAAGUCGUCGAAGGUGGAAUCAAUAACUGGGGUGAAGUCGUAACAAGGUAGCCGUAUCGGAAGGUGCGGCUGGAUCACCUCCUUUCUAAGGAGA